rnacentral:rRNA from 1 species
ACGGGGUGCAGCAGGCGCGAAAACUUUACAAUGCGGGAAACCGCGAUAAGGGGAUACCGAGUGCCAGCAUAUUAUGUUGGCUGUCCACAUGUGUAAACGGCAUGUGUUAGCAAGGGCCGGGCAAGACCGGUGCCAGCCGCCGCGGUAACACCGGCGGCCCGAGUGGUAAUCACUUUUAUUGGGUCUAAAGGGUCCGUAGCCGGUUUGAUCAGUUCUUCGGGAAAUCUGACAGCUCAACUGUUAGGCUUCCGGGGAAUACUGUCAGACUUGGGACCGGGAGAGGUAAGAGGUACUACAGGGGUAGGAGUGAAAUCUUGUAAUCCCUGUGGGACCACCAGUGGCGAAGGCGUCUUACCAGAACGGGUCCGACGGUGAGGGACGAAAGCUGGGGGCACGAACCGGAUUAGAUACCCGGGUAGUCCCAGCCGUAAACGAUGUUCGCUAGGUGUCAGGGACGGUGCGACCGUUUCUGGUGCCGUAGGGAAGCCGUGAAGCGAACCACCUGGGAAGUACGGCCGCAAGGCUGAAACUUAAAGGAAUUGGCGGGGGAGCAC